AUGGCGGCCGCCGCGGGGAGGCGGAGGGCGCUCGGGCUGCCGCCGACGGGCGAGGGCGGCGCGGUCGUCGAGACCGCGCGCGUGGACUCCGGCCCGUGGGCUGCCGGUGGCAGCUCCUCGAGCGACGACGGCGGGUACCCGAUGCAGCAGCAGCAGCAGGGCCCUGGCGGCGCCGACCUCCUCCAACUGGCCAUGUGGCACGGCGGCGGCAUGAUGCAGCAGCCCGAUCGCUGCAAUGGAAGGUCACCGGGAUCGUUGAAGCUUCGCCGCCAGCGCUGCAAUGGAGCGCCGCCAGUGCUACAAUGGAGCGUUGCCGGAGUCGCCGGGCUGCAAUGA
rnacentral:rRNA from 1 species